rnacentral:rRNA from 1 species
GACGAACGCUGGCGGCGUGCUUAACACAUGCAAGUCGAACGGAAAGGCCUCUUUCGGGGGGUACUCGAGUGGCGAACGGGUGAGUAACACGUGAGUAACCUGCCCUUGACUUUGGGAUAACUUCAGGAAACUGGGGCUAAUACCGGAUAGGAGCUCCUGCUGCAUGGUGGGGGUUGGAGAGUUUCGGCGGUUGGGGAUGGACUCGCGGCUUAUCAGCUUGUUGGUGGGGUAGUGGCUUACCAAGGCUUUGACGGGUAGCCGGCCUGAGAGGGUGGCCGGCCACAUUGGGACUGAGAUACGGCCCAGACUCCUACGGGAGGCAGCAGUGGGGAAUAUUGCACAAUGGGUGGAAGCCUGAUGCAGCAACGCCGUGUGCGGGAUGACGGCCUUCGGGUUGUAAACCGCUUUCGCUCAUGACGAAGCUUUGUGUGACGGUAGUGGGUAAAGAAGCACCGGCUAACUACGUG